GUGGAAAUAUGCAUCGGCUGAUGAUUUUGUGUUGUCUCGCUCUGUCACUCCAGCAUGGUUGCGCUUUGCAAUGCUACUCUUGCAUCUCGGACGAUGAUGCACUAAACUGCGGUGAUCCUUUCAAUAAAAUCUAUACUCCAACAUGCUCUUUGGAUAGCGAUACCAUGUGCAUGAAGACAAUAAUUGCAACAAACGAUGAAGGAGGCAAAAUCGUUGCCAGAUCAUGCGUUCCAACGGUAGCUGGUGAUCCUUGCAGCAUUUUCAUCAAUGAACAGAGCCAGAAUACAAAGGUUGAGCACUGCUCCACAUGUAACGACGCCGAUUACUGCAACACUGGUCCAAAAUCGGCGGCCGUUUCCAUUGUUGUUCUUCUCAUCCCUGUUUUGCAUUCUUUGAAUAAUAUAAUUUAAAAUUAUGUUCCAAUUUUUUGUUCAAAAAUAUGUUUGUUGUUUAGAAUAAGAAUAAACAUAACUUUAAUCUA